UGGAUGCUAAACAUGGUGAAUAUUGGUGUUGGAAAAUUGCUUUUUUUAACUCUGUUGCUAGUGACUGUAUCUGGUAAGUCUAAAUUCUAAGUCGAUCUCCUAUUUAUUAUGUUGUAUUCGUACCGAGAUUGAGAGUAUAUGUUAACGACCAUGAUCAAUACAAGUAGGGACGGACGUGGAAAAAUAUUUGAUAGCGAGGUUGUAUUUUUUCAAAAUUCGAGUUUGAAAUUUUUAGAAAAUAAUUUUGCUACGAUUUCAUUUGAUGAUAGGGACUUUUACGCAAGAAAUUGCAUAAAAAUCUAUAAUUUGACAGUUUUAUAAGAAUAAAGUAUAAGAUUUUUUUGGCUCUGGUAGGGGCUUAAGCUCACACCUUUUAUUGUGUCUGUCAUUGAAUACAAGUGUAUGCUUGGUGAAUUUCUAGCGCAAAGUAUAUAUAUGCGUGUUUGUUUAUGAAAUAUCCAAUAAUUUGGAUCAUAUUGGCAAUUAAUAGAGUAUUUGGAGUCAUAUUUCAAUCAAUUUUUCAAGCAGCAUUUCAAUUGAAUUGACAACACUAUUUUUGGGUACUGAAAAAAUUGGGCAAGUCUUAAAUUUGAAAUUCAAGUCAAUUUAUUGAAUACUAAUACUAUAUAUCGAUCAUUACUAAAAUUACAGAGUAAAAUUAUUCAAAUGAAUUGGUAUAUAUAUAUAUGUGUGAGAUAGCCAUAUAUUUUUUUCAGGAACAAUGGAGUUGAAACCGUGUGGGCUAUGGUCGUGCGACUUUGAUGAAGACUGCUGGGACCCACGUUGUGGGCUUAAGUGUCUUAACUUCACUACUUCUGCCUCAGGGAUCAUUCUGCAGCUGUGUGCAAAUCCUCCACCAUAUCUAUAAUCUAUCUUACAUGUUACCAUGUAUUAAAAGAGAAGUGAAUGUAAAUAAAUUCAAUGAUCAGAAGAAAAUUAUUCACUAUUAAAUUAAAACUCCUGAA
rnacentral:lncRNA from 1 species